ACAUCUUUAGCUAAAAUGGUCAAAGCAUGUGCCUUCGAAGCAUAGUAAUAUUGGUUCGAAUCCAAUAAGAUGUC
rnacentral:tRNA from 1 species